UGUGGGGGAGAGGACACACCAGGCCUCAGCGUUUCACUGGGAUACAGGGCUGCUUUAGAAGAAAGGGCUUGGUGUACUGGAUUCCCUCUUCAGGUCUAAUCCACAGGAUAGAGUGGGGCAGAGGUACUGUCCCAAGUCUGAGGGAGAUUUACAGAAUUCCAUUUGACCUCAAGAGCACAGUUUGCUUGCAAGGCCAAAGCAGCUUUGUGGACCCACUUGAGCUUGUGGAGCACA